rnacentral:rRNA from 1 species
UACGUAGGUGGCAAGCGUUGUCCGGAUUUAUUGGGUUUAAAGGGUGCGUAGGCGGCUUAUUAAGUCAGUGGCGAAAUACUCUAGCUCAACUAGAGGGGUGCCAUUGAUACUGAUGAGCUUGAGUACAGAUGAGGUAGGCGGAAUUGACGGUGUAGCGGUGAAAUGCUUAGAUAUCGUCAAGAACACCUAUAGCGAAGGCAGCUUACUAGGCUGUAACUGACGCUGAGGCACGAAAGUGUGGGGAUCAAACAGG